rnacentral:rRNA from 1 species
GAUGAACGCUAGCGGCAGGCCUAAUACAUGCAAGUCGAACGGAAUAUGAUUUUCGGAUUAUAUUUAGUGGCGCACGGGUGAGUAACACGUACAUAACUUACCCUCAAGAGGGGGAUAGCCUCGGGAAACUGAGCGUAAUACCCCAUAGUAUUAUUGAACGGCAUCGUUUGAUAAUUAAAGCUACGGCGCUUGAGGAUAGAUGUGCGUCUGAUUAGCUAGUUGGUAAGGUAACGGCUUACCAAGGCGACGAUCAGUAGGGGGCGUGAGAGCGUGGCCCCCCACACGGUACGUNAGACACGGACCCGGACCU